ACCAAGUACUGUCUUCUAUGGGAGGGCAUGGCAGGAAGGCACCAUCUGAGCCCGGAAGUGGGUCCUCACCAGACACUGCCGUCACCUCCGCGCUGGACCUGCAGCCUCCAGAACUGUUUUGCCUGGCAUUCUGCAGAAGCAUUGCUGUAUCUUACCAGACAGGAAUACAGGUCUGCUGUGUGCCAAAAUAUUUUACCAUGCCCUAAAAGUGAGAUGUUGGAAGUGGACAAGGAGGAAAUAUUUAUGAAUAUUUGAGUCUGUUAUUCUUUAUGUUAAGCAUUUUGGCUUCUGUUGUACUCCUAAAUCACUACUGAGAGCAGAGAAAGAGCUCUUUGUAGAAAUGAGAUGUGUUCCUGUGUGCUGCCUGUGACGCAUCCCGUUGUCACCGGAGUGCCGUGGCCCUAAGGAAUGACAGCAUUAAGGCAUGGACGUUAAAGAUGGACAAAAGAAUUGUUC
rnacentral:lncRNA from 10 species